UGAGGAAGAAAUGGCUCCUGGGACACUGGAGCGUCUCUGCUGGACUUACUGUCUGUGUCUGCAGCCCUGCAGCAGAAUCUGCAGGCGAAGCUUGGAGAUGACGUCACUCUCCAGUGUCAGAUUACCACAGAUGAAAUAAUCUCAGUGCUGAAGUGGAGCAGACCUGACCUGAACACAGACGGCUACGUCUACUUCUACAGGAACAAACGCUUCUAUGAAAACUACCAACAUCCAUCUUUUCAUGGAAGAGUGAAGCUGAGGGACCCGGAGAUGAAGGAUGGAGACGUUUCUGUGAUCCUGAACAACGUCACGUUUAAUGACACUGGGAUGUAUGAGUGUCACGUAGUAGUGAGGAACCCUGGGAGAAGUAAAAGAGUUCACACUGAGAUCAGUCACUUCAUUGACUUCACAGUCACAGGUGAAACAGAUGAAA